rnacentral:lncRNA from 1 species
UAAACACAAAAUCCGAACCCUUGAGUAAAUUUGGGAAGAAUGGGAAUCGUUGGAUGAAAUCUAUGUCCAAAAAUCUCCAUUUUUUCGAUUUUUAUUUGUGAAAGAGAUUGUCGGAUUUUUGAUUUUUGGGGUUCCACACGGUUCUGGGGUUUUUCUUACAAAAGAAGAAGAAGAUUCCAGAGGGGGCUUUAUAUAUAUAUAUAUAUAUAUAUA